rnacentral:misc_RNA from 1 species
UUCAAGAGCACGGAUCAGCCGAACACCAUCAGCAUUUGCCAAUAUUUUAACCCCAUUUUCACUGGUUGAUACAGCUAAAAGUGUGCCUUCUUUACUAAAUCGGAUGCAUGGAGAUGCUGGUAAUCCACCAUCAGCAUCUGCAGUAGUCAAGAGGUUUGUAUUAUCCAUGUCCCAGAAUUUGAUUAUGAACUCAUCGCCAGCAGCCAAGAAUCUGUUUUUAGUAGUAUCAAAUUGCACCACCCCAACAGAUCUUUUCCCAAGGCCAACAUAAGUACGUUUAACAGCACCUUCACUUUCAUUCCACUCCACAAGGUAUGAUUCACCAUCUUUACUGGUGCCACAAGAAAAGAGCCUUGCUCCAUCAGCACUGUAAGCCAUUGUAGUACAUGAGUGGCCUGGAGCAUCAUAAUCAACCCUGGAU